rnacentral:ribozyme from 14 species
CUUUCCCAUUUUUUUUUUUUUGCUGGAUUUUUUUUUCUCGUUCGAGUGGGACGAACGACGAGGGUUCGAAGAAGGGAGAAAAAUAUUUAAAACAUUUCCAUCUUCUUUUUUUGUUUUUGACAGUCUACUCUACAGUCCAAGAAGAAGAAAAAAGAUGUC